AUACUUACCUGGCAGGGGAGACACCAUGAUCAAGAAGGUGGUUCACCCAGGGCGAGGCUCCCAAAUGUGGGAAUGCAUAAUUUAUGGUAGUGGGGGACUGCGUUCGCGCUCUCCCCUG
rnacentral:snRNA from 1 species